CUGCUCAAUGAUUUUAUAAUUAAAUAGCUGCAGUAAAUUGACUGUGCAAAGGUAGCAUAAUAAAUUGUUUAUUAAUUGUAGACUUGUAUGAAGGAAUUGAUGAAAUUUAUACUGUUUCAAAUUAAAAAAAAGAAAUUUUAUUUUAAGUAAAAAUACUUAAAUUAUUUUAUGGGACGAGAAGACCCUAUAGAAUUUUAUCAUAAUAAUAUAUAAAAUAAUUAUUUUUAUAAAUUUUAAAUAAAUUUAUAUAUUUUAUAUUUUGUUGGGGGGAUAAUUAAAUUAAUAAAACUUUAAUAAAUAAAUAACAUAAAUUAAUGACUUAAUUAUUAUUAAUUUAAAAUAUAAAAUUAAUUACCUUAGGGAUAACAGCGUAAUAUUUUUGGAAAGAUCAUAUUGAUAAAAAUGUUUGCGACCUCGAUGUUGAAUUAAGAUAAAAUUUAAGUGGAGAAAUUUAAAUAUU
rnacentral:rRNA from 1 species